UACGUAGGGUGCGAGCGUUAAUCGGAAUUACUGGGCGUAAAGCGUGCGCAGGCGGCGGUGCUGGCCCGGCGUGAAAGCCCCCGGCUCAACCGGGGAGGGUCGUCGGGGACCGCACCGCUUGAGGGCGGUAGGGGCUGGUGGAAUGCCUGGUGUAGUGGUGAAAUGCGUAGAGAUCAGGCGGAACACCCGUGGCGAAGGCGGCCAGCUGGGCCGUCCCUGACGCUGAGGAGCGAAAGCGUGGGGAGCGAACAGG
rnacentral:rRNA from 1 species